UACGUAGGGUGCGAGCGUUGUCCGGAAUUAUUGGGCGUAAAGAGCUCGUAGGCGGCUUGUCGCGUCGACUGUGAAAACCCGCGGCUCAACCGUGUGGUCUGCAGUCGAUACGGGCAGGCUAGAGUUCGGUAGGGGAGACUGGAAUUCCUGGUGUAGAGGUGAAAUUCGUAGAUAUCGGGAGGAACACCGGUGGCGAAGGCGGCGACCUGGGUAGAUACUGACGCUGAGGUGCGAAAGCGUGGGGAGCGAACAGG
rnacentral:rRNA from 1 species